GUAUAGCUCAGUGGUAGAGCAUUCGGCUGCAAAUCGAGAGGUCUCCGGUUCGAAUCCGGUUGUCUACU